AUGAACACGACCCUAUCACCAGUACUUAGGGUGUGUGCCAUGGUUUUCUUUGAUGACAUUGUUGUUUUCAGUACAUCCUUUGCUCUGCACUUGCAACAUCUCAGGGAAGUGUUUGCUCUAUUGCGCAAAGAUCAAUGGUAUGUAAAAAGAUCCAAGUGUGAAUUUGCCAAGCAGGAGCUGAAGUACUUGGGGCACACUAUUUCAGCAGCUGGAGUAUCAACUGACAGUGAUAACAUCCAACAAGUUCAAGGAUGGCCUGUUCCCACUUCAGUCAAAGAAGUGCGUUCCUUCCUAGGGCUGGCAGGAUAUUAUAGACGGUUUGUGCGCCAAUUUGGCACUAUUGCACGACCUCUUACAGAUUUGCUUCGCAAAAACACUCCUUUCCAAUGGACAGCCGCUACACGAGAAGCUUUUGAAGCAUUGAAAACUGCUUUAGUAACAGCACCAACACUAGCUUUACCAGAUUUUACCAAACCCUUCAUCAUUGAGACGGAUGCAUGUGAGUAUGGAGUUGGGGCAGUCUUACAGCAGGAGGGGCAUCCCAUCGCAUAUUUGAGCAAAGCCUUGGGACCAAGAACUAAAGGCGACCAUGGUCCGCACGAUGACCGAAGGCAUCGUGAAUAG
rnacentral:rRNA from 1 species